rnacentral:rRNA from 1 species
CUAGGAUUAGAUACCCUAUUAUUUAAAAUCUAAAAACUAAAUUAUUAAUAGUUAUAGUCUUUAAAUUUAAAAAAUUUGGCGGUAUUUUAGUCUAUUCAGAGGAACCUGUUUUAUAAUCGAUAUUCCACGUUGGACCUUACUUUAACUUAUAAAUUAGUUUAUAUACCGUUGUUAUAAAAAAUUUUAUAAGAAUAAUAAUUUUUAAAAUUAUAUAUCAGAUCAAGGUGUAGCUUAUGUUAAAGUAAAUAAUGGGUUACAAUAAAAUUAUUUAUAUGGAAAUUAAUAUGAAAAAUUAAUAGAAGGAGGAUUUGAUAGUAAAAUUAUAUAGAUUAAUAAUUUGAUUUUAGCUCUAAAAUAUGUACAUAUCGCCCGUCACUCUUAUUAUUAAAAUAAGAUAAG